GUCCUGCAUACAGUGAGACCUCAGGGGACUGGGCAUCCAUUUCAACCAUCACCAGCUUUGUGUUUGUGCGUGAUUACUAUAUAAAUGUUAAUUCAGGAAAUAAAAAAAAAGAGGUUCUGCUUCAGAGUCAGAAUGCCAUUCCGCCUUUCUGCGAGCUCAACCACCAUGGGCUUCUUUGGCAGCAAAGUCUGGGUCUUGAGAAGCUGGCCACUAUUUAUAUUUCCCACACUACCUCCAGAAUGAUGCUACUUCAGGCUUCCAGGAAAUUGUACAAAAGUGAAAAU